UGCCGUCGGCCCCCGGGUAAACCUCCUC
rnacentral:sRNA from 1 species